rnacentral:rRNA from 1 species
GUGGGGAAUAUUGGACAAUGGGCGAAAGCCUGAUCCAGCCAUGCCGCGUGUGUGAAGAAGGUCUUCGGAUUGUAAAGCACUUUAAGUUGGGAGGAAGGGCAGUAAGUUAAUACCUUGCUGUUUUGACGUUACCGACAGAAUAAGCACCGGCUAACUUCGUGCCAGCAGCCGCGGUAAUACGAAGGGUGCAAGCGUUAAUCGGAAUUACUGGGCGUAAAGCGCGCGUAGGUGGUUUUGUAAGUUGGAGGUGAAAUCCCCGGGCUCAACCUGGGAACUGCCUCCAAAACUGCAUGACUAGAGUACGGUAGAGGGUAGUGGAAUUUCCUGUGUAGCGGUGAAAUGCGUAGAUAUAGGAAGGAACACCAGUGGCGAAGGCGACUACCUGGACUGAUACUGAAACUGAGGUGCGAAAGCGUGGGGAGCAAACAGGAUUAGAUACCCCAGUAGUCC